GGACCCUUAGCUCAGUUGGUAGAGCCCCCUGCUCAUAACAGGGUUUGCGUAGGUUCAAGUCCUACAGGGUCCA
rnacentral:tRNA from 2 species